rnacentral:rRNA from 1 species
GAUGAACGCUGGCGGCGUGCCUAAUACAUGCAAGUCGAGCGAACAGAUAAGGAGCUUGCUCCUUUGACGUUAGCGGCGGACGGGUGAGUAACACGUGGGUAACCUACCUAUAAGACUGGGAUAACUUCGGGAAACCGGAGCUAAUACCGGAUAACAUUUGGAACCGCAUGGUUCUAAAGUGAAAGAUGGUUUUGCUAUCACUUAUAGAUGGACCCGCGCCGCAUUAGCUAGUUGGUAAGGUAACGGCUUACCAAGGCAACGAUACGUAGCCGACCUGAGAGGGUGAUCGGCCACACUGGAACUGAGACACGGUCCAGACUCCUACGGGAGGCAGCAGUAGGGAAUCUUCCGCAAUGGGCGAAAGCCUGACGGAGCAACGCCGCGUGAGUGAUGAAGGGUUUCGGCUCGUAAAACUCUGUUAUUAGGGAAGAACAAACGUGUAAGUAACUGUGCACGUCUUGACGGUACCUAAUCAGAAAGCCACGGCUAACUACGUG